rnacentral:ribozyme from 1 species
GGAAGAAUACAAAAAAAAAAAGAAGAAAAAAAAAACGCGUUGUGUACCAUUAGCCUGUUUUUUGGUGUCUGCUCUUUAUG